rnacentral:SRP_RNA from 1 species
CAGGGCAAGUCCUAUACGACCAGCUCCCUCUGAAUUCCCCCAGGUCUUGACCGAAGCAAGGGUAGGAGGUUGUAGCGGUGCGAUGUAGUCAGCUUGCUCU